UAUUUUUACAUCCAAAAAAUAUUCUUUAUUAAUAUAGAUCAUUAAAAAUAUAUGUAGGUAGAACAUACAUCUUAAGUGACAUUGUGUAUUCAGAAUUAGGCCAUGUGGGCUAAACAACAAUCCCACAAUUGAAACAAAGUAAAAAAAUAAAAUAUAAUGUUAGAUAAAAAAAGAAAAAAAAUUGACAUAGUACUAUGGCCCAGGCCCACAAAUCAUAUACAUCUGCAAUGGUUUAGGAGGGUGAAUUAAAAAAAUAUAUUAAAAAAUAAGUAUGAAGCAUUCAGACACUGAAAAUCAUCACUUAAAGAAUUCCACAAAUACUAUUCAAUACCCAAAUAUAUAUUUUUAUAUACAUACAAAUAUCACCAUAUGAAAAUGGUACAUUAUCUCUGUACAUAUACAUUGAUUCACAUUCUGCAAUUCUGUCCAAUAAGCAUGCUGUUGGAUAGAGGACAGUCUUUAAUAAAUCUUUAAUUGAUCAUUUCAUACAAUAGAUGGCCACUGAAACGUAUACCCCCAUAUAGUACCCUAAUUCAGCCAUCAUUAUUUUUGUUGUGCAACUAUACAGUUUGUCAUACACCCUGAUCAUUAAUCAUUUUUUCUCAUUAGCGGAUGUGCAGGAUAUUUAAAAUCUCUAUAUAAAUAGUAACUAGAUUUGAAAACAAAACCAUUGGGACUUGGAUAAGAAGUACAUAUUGCCUCUGAUUACUGUAAAAGGUUUUAUCUGAACAGACCAAUAUUUCAAGAAUAAAGUGCUGCUAUGAUAAGCAGAGUACCAACUUUACUAACUUGCUUGCUGCUGCAGUUUCACACUAACUUGAUAGUGUGUUAUCUUUUCAGAAAAUGUUAUCAGGCUGAGCAGCCCCAUCAUCUCCUUUACGCAUUAAUCACAGUAUAUUAGAUAUACAUUGUGUAAAAUGGUUAAUGCUAAAAUAUUUCAUUGGCAUUUUAAAUGAGCUAGACAAAUCGUUACACUAUGUAAUUUACACAUUGUAUGUAAAAUUAUAAAAAUUGAGCAUUAACUGAAUUCAAAUUAUAAUUGCUUUGAGAUUGCAGGGGCAUGAUCUAUACAUUCAAUUCGCUGACGUUUAGGAAUUAAAAUACAGUCUGUUGAGACUUUUUCUGACUGGGGUAGUGUGGCUAGGAUAGAAUAAACCAAAUUCCAAGUUUGCAAAUAAGAGUGUCAUACAGCCUGUGCAGACACAAUGAAACCAGAUUUAGUAAGCUGGAGGGGAGAGCACCUUUUUUCUUUGUAUUGAUUAAGACCUAUGGAUAAAUGUAUAUUGAGCUGCACUGGCUGCAGGUAAAGACUUCUCCUAAGUUUAGCUCCACUCUGAAAGCCUUCACUAUGCAUGGCAGAAACAAUGGCAAUAGGUGCUCUUGGCAGGUGGGCUUACAUCUAUUUAUUUAGUAACCUCAGAAUUACCUGCGCUCUAGCCCAAAUCCCUAACAACCAUUUAAAUAUGAAUAGACUGUUAAAUUUAGUUUAUCUUUUUUGCGUUAUGUAAUAAAGCACUACACUGCCUGCAUAUGACACAUUAAAUAAACCUGUCAACCAAAAGUAAAGCACCUUAUUUAAAUAUAGAAAAUCUCUAAAAUAAUUGAAAAAGAAAUCUCAUAAUUUGGUUUGACGUUUACAAAUGAUAGAGUGCUAGGAAUCGCUUGGAAUAAUAUCAGUGCAGCCUGAUUCUAUGAUAAUGACAUGACAUUAUGUAAACAAAUCUAUUUACACGACAAUAUACGGAUACUGCAAUGUUGAAUAACUACUACAGCAAGCUAACACAUUAACUUAAUGGAAAUGAAAUGACUUGAAUAUGCCAAAUAUUUCAUUGGAGAGCAGCACAGAUGUAGAGCACAUUGAUUUAAUAUAAUAAACUCACAGGACUUAUCUGCUUCUAGCAAGUACUAUAAAAUAGUUACAGAUAUAUCCUAAUAUAAAUUCAUAAUAUGUUAAGGCUGAACAUCUGUCCUCCUAUUUGAGGACUUGUCUUUAGUCCCCUGUAUUCAACAUUUGCAGACAAUUAUUUGUAACAGGAGUUGUGUUAGACAGUAUUUGUAGUAGAGUUAAAAUAUAUUUGAUUUUGACACGUUUGCUUAGUUGAACUUAACUAAGCAGUGCUCCACAGAAAAUGUUCAUUUUUAGGACCUAUAAAUUAUAAAUUCAAGAAUUUAAAAGCAGACCGCGAGUUGAACACCAUGUAACACCAGAAUUAAUUGUUCUUGUGGAACAUGCUUUGCACAGUGGGGGAGUCAUUCCUUUUUAUAGAUACUGGGGUGUUAAAUACCAUAAACACAUUUAUGGAAAGAUCACAAAUUUAGAUUGACAUCCCCCUACAUGGAGAGCUAAUUUUAGUGAUUACUAUGGUAUUUCUUUGCCAAGUUUCACAUCAAUGUCAUAAAUAAUUUAUUAUGAUGAGCAAUCUAGAGAAUUGAAACUCCAUUUAUGCAGACUGCCAAAAGUGCAAGAAUAACAAUGGAAAAUUAUAAAUUUAUUAGACCAGAGCCCAUCCAAUUAAGUGAUUGGUUUCCAACCACUUUCAGUUAUGCAUAAAUCAACUAUUGGUUCUGCCCAUUAUCAGGGAUGGGAUGAUACUCCGCAUAACAGGCACCCUUUGGGAGACAAAUUAAAAUACAAGGAAAUAAGAAGGGACAGCAGUUAUGUUUUUACAAUUUUACAAUUUCAGGGUAAAGCCUCCAACACAGCAGUAGGAAAGCUAUAAACAUAUAGUCAAUCCUUGGGUGUGUGUGUGUGUGUGUGUGUGUGUGUGUGUGUGUGUGUAUAU